UACGUAGGGGGGCUAGCGUUGUCCGGAAUCAUUGGGCGUAAAGCGCGCGUAGGCGGCCAGAUAAGUCCGGUGUGAAAGUCACAGGCUCAACCUGUGAAUGCCGCUGGAAACUGUCUGGCUAGAGUCCGGAAGGGGCGAGUGGAAUUCCUGGUGUAGCGGUGAAAUGCGCAGAUAUCAGGAGGAACACCGGUGGCGAAGGCGGUUCUCUGGGCAUGUCCUGACGCUGAGGAGCGAAAGUGUGGGGAGCGAACAGG
rnacentral:rRNA from 1 species